UACGUAGGGGGCAAGCGUUGUCCGGAAUCAUUGGGCGUAAAGAGCGUGUAGGCGGCUCGAUAAGUCCGCUGUGAAAGUCCAGGGCUCAACCCUGGAAUGCCGGUGGAAACUGUCGAGCUAGAGUCCGGAAGAGGCGAGUGGAAUUCCUGGUGUAGCGGUGAAAUGCGCAGAUAUCAGGAGGAACACCAAUGGCGAAGGCAGCUCGCUGGGACGGUACUGACGCUGAGACGCGAAAGCGUAAGGAGCAAACAGG
rnacentral:rRNA from 1 species